rnacentral:rRNA from 1 species
CUACGGGGGGCAGCAGGCGCGAAACCUCUACAAUGCACGCAAGUGUGAUAGGGGGAUUCCAAGUGCUUUACUUUCAGUAAAGCUUUUUUCAAUGGUAAAAACAUUGAAGAAUAAGUGGUGGGUAAGACAGGUGCCAGCCGCCGCGGUAACACCCGCGCCACAAGUGGUAAUCACAAUUAUUGGGCCUAAAGCGUUCGUAGCCGGUCUAAAAAAUCCCUUGUGAAAUUGUUAAGCCUAACUUAACAGCAUGCAGGGGACACUUUUAGACUUGAAAUCAAGAGGGGUUAGGAGUAUUCCAGGGGGAGCGGUAAUAUGUUAUAAUCCCUGGAAGACUACCAGUGGCGAAGGCGCCUAACCAGAAUGAUUUUGACGGUGAGGGACGAAAGCUAGGGGAGCAAAACGGAUUAGAUACCCCGGUAGUC